UGGGGUAUAGCUUAAUGAUUGAGCGCUUGUCUAGCAUGCACAAGGCCCUGGCUUCAAGCCCCAGUACCACAC
rnacentral:tRNA from 1 species